CCCCAAAAAAUUGAAUUCCCUACUCAUCCCUCCGCUCCAGUACCUUCUUCUGCAACCAGAUAACUCUUCCUUAUGGAAAAGUCCUAAUUCUGAAGUUAAGAACCCUAGGAUUAUGGAGGAAGACGAUGCAAAAGUUCUAUCAAUCUCCAGCGAUGAUUUCACGCAGGGCCGACUCAAGGGGCCUUCCGAUCUUUGCUAUCAGUGUAGGUCUCAAUACAUGUGACAAAGCAUCUGUCCAGCAUUAUGUGUAAUCACAUAUUCAAAUCAAUGAGUACCACGAUCGUGUAAUAUUGGUGAGGGAACCAUUGCAGUCCCUAGUUAACUGCCUUUGUCCGGUGUGUGGCAAGGAUCAAGAGUCUACAGAACAUACGUGUGUGACGUGUGCUUUCGCUCAAACGGUAUGGCAUUUAGUAUCGCAAUGGUGCAAGCUCCCUCCAAUCUAUGCAUUCCGGAUAUUAAGUCAAAACCAGGUUGGGUUGGCGAGCAUGGGAUAUAAUUUGCCACAACCAGCUUAGCUUUGGGAAAGGAUGUGUCCAACAACAAGAAAGAGCAUAGAAAACUGCCAUUCAAGCGCUUAUCAAUGCCUCAGUCACCCAAACUCUUCUUUGGUAUCUCAAAUAUGACUAUUUGAUCCUAAUCAUUAUGUAGGAGUGGCAUUUUCGACCCAUUUGCUUACGAAUGGUUCUAUUUGUGUUAUAAAUUAUAUCAAACGGGUCUGAUCAUCAACUAUAACUCAAAUGGGUUAAUGGUUUGAAAGUUGCCAAAUGUGUAUAUAUAAUAUAUAAAACCUCCUAAAUAUUCUAAUAUUUAAGUUUUAUU
rnacentral:lncRNA from 1 species